rnacentral:rRNA from 1 species
UUAAGUCAGGCAACAAGCGGGACCCCUGCCGUUAAUUGCUACCAUUAUCCGCAAGGAUGGUGGAGCUAGUUGACGGGACUGCCGCCGCUAAGGCGGAGGAAGGAAGGGGCAACGGCAGGUCAGUAUGCCCCGAAACUCCUGGGCCACACGCGGGCUGCAAUGGUAGAGACAAUGGGUUCCUACCUCGAAAGGGGGAGGCAAUCCCCAAACUCUACCCCAGUUGUGACUGAGGGCUGCAACCCGCCCUCACGAAUCUGGAAUCCCUAGUAAUCGCAUGUCAUCACCGUGCGGUGAAUACGUCCCUGCUCCUUGCACA